CGACGAGUAGGCAGGCGUGGGGGUCCGUGACGAAGCCUUGGGAGUGAUCCCGGGUCGAACGGCCCCUAGUGCAGAUCUUGGUGGUAGUAGCAAAUACUCAAAUGAGAACUUUGAGGACUGAAGUGGGGAAAGGUUCCAUGUGAACAGCAGUUGGACAUGGGUUAGUCGAUCCUAAGGCAUAGGGAAGUUCCGUUUGAAAGGCGCCCUCGUGCGCCGUGUGCCGAAAGGGAAGCCGGUUAACAUUCCGGCACCUGGAUGUGGAUUCUCCACGGCAACGUAACUGAACGCGGAGACGUCGGCGGGGGUCCUGGGAAGAGUUCUCUUUUCUUCUUGACAGCCUUCCACCCUGAAAUCGGUUUGUCCGGAGCUAGGGUUCCAUGGCUGGCAGAGCCCCGCACCUUUGCGGGGUCCGGUGCGCCCCCGACGACCCUUGAAAAUCCGCGGGAAGGAAUAGUUUUCACGCCAGGUCGUACUCAUAACCGCAGCAGGUCUCCAAGGUGAACAGCCUCUA
rnacentral:rRNA from 1 species